rnacentral:lncRNA from 1 species
UGCAUGUGGUGUCUGUGGUAGUGAUUUCAGAAUCUGUCAGCUUUGAAGUUGGUGUUGGCUCUGUCUUGUUGCUUGGAGGUUCAGCAGAUUGUUUUUCAGAUGUCAAAUAUGUGAUGGAUGGACUUGUGAGAGUGCUGAUGGAUGAUUCUUCAUGUGGAUUAGCUUCAAUUGCAGGGACAGAUUGUUGGGAGACAGCAACAUAUGAGGAGAGAAAGAAGCUUGGCAAUCCCUGUGGAGUGGAACGGUUGGAGCUGGUCCUUAGUUGGCAGUAGACAGGUUGUGCAAAGAGUCUAUCAUUGAUUGUUUGAAUUGGAAUUGUUUGUCCCUGCUGAGGAGAAUAAGAAAAGAGAGUUUUUUUGGAUUAUUGUAUAUAUUUCUGAACUAUUGUAAAAAUUUGUUUGUGUAAUUUAGUGAUUCUCACAGAUGCUAUCUGGUCAUAGAUUUGUGUUGCUGUGAGCCCAAUUAUGUUCUCAGCAUAACUGUCUUGAACAAAUGCAUCCAAAUGAGCUGAAUCAUCA